rnacentral:rRNA from 1 species
AACGUAGGACACAAGCGUUAUCCGGAGUUACUGGGCGUAAAGGGCGUGUAGGCGGAUCGGUAAGUCUACUCUGAAAGCUCCUGGCUAAACUGGGAGAGGCGAGUGGAGACUGUCGGUCUAGAGUGAGGAAGAGGAAAGUGGAAUUCCGCGUGUAGUGGUGAAAUGCGUAGAGAUGCGGAGGAACACCAGUGGCGAAGGCGGCCUUCUGGACAGUGACUGACGCUGAGACGCGAAAGCGUGGGGAGCAAACAGG